rnacentral:antisense_RNA from 2 species
UUUGACCGAACCCAGCCACAACGGCCGAUCCUCCGGCCGGUCCUGCCCGUAGGUGGCCAGCAACGCCUGCGCCUC